UGCCCAGCAACUUCUCUCCCUACCUCCUCGCAAUAUUUGCCGGGGUACGAGCAAUCUUAGGGUAUAUCGGGUAACCAAUUCCGAUGGGAACUUCGGUCGUAUGCUGAAAGGGAAAA
rnacentral:ribozyme from 1 species